UACAGAGGGGGCAAGCGUUAUUCGGAAUUAUUGGGCGUAAAGGGCGCGUAGGCGGCUUGGCAAGUGGAAGGUGAAAUCCCUCGGCUUAACCGAGGAACUGCCCUCCAAACUGCUUUGCUUGAGGCCGGGAGAGGUGAGUGGAAUUCCCAGUGUAGCGGUGAAAUGCGUAGAUAUUGGGAGGAACACCAGUGGCGAAGGCGGCUCACUGGACCGGUACUGACGCUGAGGCGCGAAAGCGUGGGGAGCAAACGGGG
rnacentral:rRNA from 1 species